AACGAACGCUGGCGGCAUGCCUAACACAUGCCAGUCGAACGAGACCUUCGGGUCUAGUGGCGCACGGGUGCGUAACGCGUGGGAACCUGCCCUUAGGUUCGGAAUAACUCCCCGAAAGGGGUGCUAAUACCGGAUAAUGUCUUCGGACCAAAGAUUUAUCGCCUUUGGAUGGGCCCGCGUUGGAUUAGCUAGUUGGUAGGGUAAAAGCCUACCAAGGCGACGAUCCAUAGCUGGUCUGAGAGGAUGAUCAGCCACACUGGGACUGAGACACGGCCCAGACUCCUACGGGAGGCAGCAGUGGGGAAUACUGGACAAUGGGCGAAAGCCUGAUCCAGCAAUGCCGCGUGAGUGAUGAAGGCCUUAGGGUUGUAAAGCUCUUUUACCCGGGAUGAUAAUGACAGUACCGGGAGAAUAAGCGCCGGCUAACUCCGUG
rnacentral:rRNA from 1 species